UGACCAUAGAGAAACCUCCUAGAUUAGCCCUGAGCUAACAUCUGCUGCCAAUCCUCCUCUUUUUGCUGAGGAAGACCAGCCCUGAGCCAACAUCCGUGCCCAUCUUCCUCUACCUCAUAUGUGGGACGUCCCCACAGCAUGGCUUGUCAAGCAGUGCCAUGCCUGCACCUGGGAUCCAAACCAGCGAGGCCUGUCCCGCCAAAGCAGCACACGUGCGCUUAACCACUGUGCCACUGGGCCAGCCCCUCUUUCUUCAUUCUUGCACCGCAGGACAGCGACCAGGGUCCAGUGCCAGGACGGUUGGGGUUCGCCGAGCGGGAGGCAAGACCCGCGGCCAGUUGGGGUCAGCGAACCGCGGCCGUUGGGGACUCCAGCUCCCAGCAGGCACCGCUUCGGCGGCCGACGCGCGUGGCGGCGCUGCCCGCUGGGACUCGUAGUGCGGUCCGGGUAGCAGAAAGGGGGAGCUAGCCCUGACUCCUUUCGCGCACGUUUCGGAAACUGGGCCUGGGAGCGACCCCGCCGGCCCACCCGUGCCCGGCGUCCCGCGGGGCGAGCGGAACACAGCUGGCUGCGGCGGGAAAGCGGCGCCGCACGUGAGCGGUGCUUAGCGCCGAAGAACCCGGAAGCCCCGCGCACCGCCCACCGCCUACCGCCGCGGUGACGGGUUAACGCUUCUCCGGGGCGGAGGUGGGGGCGGGGUGUGUGGAUGAGAGGCCGUCCCACCCGACUCCUCCCGGAGCCGCGCGCGAGCCGUCCCGCCCUUCCCCCCCCCCCCCGGGC
rnacentral:lncRNA from 1 species